rnacentral:sRNA from 1 species
GCUGGGUGUGGUGGCACACACCUGUAAUCCCAGCAGCUUGGGAGGCCAAGGCAGGAGGAUCGAAAGUUCAAAGCCAGCCUCAGCAUCUUAGUGAUGAAAGACCCUGUCUGAA